UGCCGGAGGCCAUUGCUAUCAGGGUUUGACUAAGCCAUGCGAGUCGAGAGGUGUAAGACCUCGGCAUACUGCUCAGUAACACGUGGUUAACCUGCCCUAAGGUGGAGAAUACUCCCGGGAAACUGGGGCUAAUGCUCCAUAGUGGAUAUGUCCUGGAAUGGUAUAUCCUCGAAAGAUCCGUCGCCUUAGGAUGGGACUGCGUCCGAUUAGGUUGUUGGCGGGGUAACGGCCCACCAAGCCUUUUAUCGGUACGGGUUGUGGGAGCAAGAUCCCGGAGAUGGAUUCUGAGACAUGAAUCCAGGCCCUACGGGGCGCAGCAGGCGCGCAAACUUUACAAUGCGAGCAAUCGUGAUAAGGAAACCCUGAGUGCCUGUCGAUGCAGGCUGUUCAUAUAUCUAAAUCAUAUGUGAAGAAAGGGCAGGGCAAGACCGGUGCCAGCCGCCGCGGUAAUACCGGCUGCUCGAGUGAUGGCCACUAUUACUGGGUUUAAAGCGUCCGUAGCUUGACUGUUAGGUCUCUUGGGAAAUCUUCGCGCUCAACGUGAAGGCGUCUAAGAGAUACCGGCAGUCUUGGAACUGGGAGAGGUAAACCGUACUUCGGGGGUAGGAGUGAAAUCUUGUAAUCCUCGAGGGACGACCUAUGGCGAAGGCAGUUUACCAGAACAGCUUCGA
rnacentral:rRNA from 1 species